rnacentral:lncRNA from 1 species
UUUAUAGGGCUUCUAAACCCUAACUCCUAAUAGGACUCCUACUUAAGACUCUUACCUCUAACCAACUCCUAAUAGGACUCCUACUCAAGACUCCUAUUCCCUUACAACUCCUAAUUCUUCUCUAAGAAAAAACCUCCUACAUGAAUGCCCCUCUCAAUUAGGACUCUCCUAGCUAGAGUCCUAACAGAAUGUCCCUCUCAAUUAGGAUUCUCCUAGCUAGAGUCCUAACAGUUUUAC